rnacentral:lncRNA from 1 species
AAUGAAGUAAGUUUCUCGAUUUUGUACUGUGUUAAGGUGGUGAGUCCUCCAAUAAAGGCAGGGGAAUUGCACCCGAGGACUAGUAAUCUGAGUACUUCAAAAAUCCCCAUUCUAGACAUUGUGAGUAACCUUAUCAUCAUUUUAAUUAUCUAAAGUAUGUUUUAACUCGGUUUUGGUGAAAUUUUAUGAAAAUGAGUUAAAUGACAAAUUUUAGGUUUUAUAAACAAAAAUGUGUUUAAAUGAAAAGAUUUUAUAAAUUGUCUUGAAACGAAAUAACGAUUUUGAAAAUAAAGCAAUUGGAGACCACCGGUAUGUUGUAAAUUUAUGAUUGGAAAUUGAUGGCUUAUGUUAUAUUGUUAUUGUGUUGGCAUGACUGGCUGGGCUGUGUUUUUGAAUUGUAUGAAUUGUUUAUUUUACCCUUACAAGCUGGGUAGUAAAAUAUUAACCCUGUCAUGCUGUCAAAAUUUUAUUGUAUGGUGGGUUUAGCUUGCUGCAGUAGGCAGAUUCUGUGGACCAGCCUAUUAGAGGAGCACAGAAUUCAAAUAUAUAUAUAGGUACCUCGGUCAGAGAGGCUCGUAGGGUAUCUCUUGAGGUAUAGUUAGAGUUCACGUCACGCCAAAUCACCUCGUGAUGAUGAACUUCGCUAACGCCAAGGAACGGCUGUGUUUUUCAAACUAAUAAUUUGUUUACGUGUAUACGAAAUUUUUAAUAGCCUUGGCGGACUCGGUUAGAUGCCUCGGCCAAGGUAUCCCCGAGAAUGAUUUUGGGAGGAGCCAAGCUUUUAAAAUACUCAUAAGUCAUGUUGAUUAUUUAAAUGAAAUGAGUAUUUAUGUUAUGAAAAACAUAUUUAAAUAAAAUAUUUUAAUAGUCUCCUUUUACUCGACUUUAGAUCUUGUG